AGCGAACGCUGGCGGCAGGCCUAACACAUGCAAGUCGAACGGACCCUUCGGGGUUAGUGGCGGACGGGUGAGUAACACGUGGGAACGUGCCUUUAGGUUCGGAAUAGCUCCUGGAAACGGGUGGUAAUGCCGAAUGUGCCCCUUCGGGGAAAGGAUUAUCGCCUUUAGAGCGGCCCGCGUCUGAUUAGCUAGUUGGUGAGGUAAUGGCUCACCAAGGCGACGAUCAGUAG
rnacentral:rRNA from 1 species